CUACGUGCCAGCAGCCGCGGUAAUACGGAAGGUCCAGGCGUUAUCCGGAUUUAUUGGGUUUAAAGGGAGCGUAGGCGGAUUAUUAAGUCAGUGGUGAAAGACGGUGGCUCAACCAUCGUUAGCCAUUGAAACUGGUAGUCUUGAGUGCAGACAGGGAUGCUGGAACUCGUGGUGUAGCGGUGAAAUGCUUAGAUAUCACGAUGAACUCCAAUCGCGAAGGCAGGUGUCCGGGCUGCAACUGACGCUGAGGCUCGAAAGUGUGGGUAUCAAACAGGAUUAGAUACCCUGGUAGUCCACACAGUAAACGAUGUAUACUCGCGGUUUGCGAUAUAUUGUAAGCCGCCAAGCGAAAGCAUUAAGUAUACCACCUGGGGAGUACGCCGGCAACGGUGAAACUCAAAGGAAUUGACGGGGGCCCGCACAAGCGGAGGAACAUGUGGUUUAAUUCGAUGAUACGCGAGGAACCUUACCCGGGCU
rnacentral:rRNA from 1 species